rnacentral:lncRNA from 1 species
UCAGGGUCAACAGAUCAACCUGCACAUACAUGUUUGGUGAGGAAGUGAAGCCUGUACUACCUUCUCUAAGGGAGAAGAAGGAGGUGACACCAACUUUGCUCUCACAGCCUUUCCAAUUUUGCUGAAGAAAUGACAGAGAAACAUUUUAGAAAAUAGGAUAUGCCAGAAUAUGUGCUAAAGGCAAUCGCUGCUCUGGAAAAUCAGAAAGGAAAGGAAGAAUCAUGAAGGAGAAGAAGCCCAUGAAGGCCACUAUUGAUUGCUUAUAUGUAAUCCCCACAACCAGUUAAGGGUAGGAAUUGUGGCCCCAUAUUAUAGAUUAAGAAACUUGAUGAAAUGCUGAAAUGCCCAUGUCUUGGUUGAAAGCAAGGGAGGGAACAAGCUAAGUUUUUGUUCCAGUCUGUUUUGUUUUCAGUUUCUGUUACCCAUGGAAAUGGAUUGUCUCUUCAAAGCUCCCCAGCUUGGUCCUCCUAACCCCUACCCAACCUCCUCCCCUCAUACCUGGAUCCCCAGUUUCUUCCCUUAUUUUACUCCAGUUCCUCAACCCAACUCUAUCCUUAUGUCUGGUGCUCCUGAUGCCUAUGCCAAGCCAACUUUAAGAUAUGUUAUUGGGCUUUAAUUCCAGAGAGGAAACCAAUGCCCC